rnacentral:rRNA from 1 species
UACGUAGGGUCCGAGCGUUGUCCGGAAUUAUUGGGCGUAAAGGGCUCGUAGGCGGUUUGUCGCGUCUGCUGUGAAAACUCACAGCUCAACUGUGAGCCUGCAGGCGAUACGGGCAGACUUGAGUACUGCAGGGGAGACUGGAAUUCCUGGUGUAGCGGUGAAAUGCGCAGAUAUCAGGAGGAACACCGGUGGCGAAGGCGGGUCUCUGGGCAGUAACUGACGCUGAGGAACGAAAGCGUGGGUGCGAACAGG